rnacentral:rRNA from 1 species
AACGUAGGAGACAAACGUUAUCCGGAGUUACUGGGCGUAAAGGGCGUGUAGGCGGUUCGUUAAGUCUGGCGUGAAAGCUCUCGGCUAAACCGGGAGAGGUCGUUGGAUACUGGCAAACUAGAGGACGGUAGAGGCGUGUGGAAUUCCGGGUGUAGUGGUGAAAUGCGUAGAGAUCCGGAGGAACACCAGUGGCGAAGGCGACACGCUGGGCCGUACCUGACGCUAAAGCGCGAAAGCAUGGGGAGCAAACGGG